CCAGACUCCUACGGGAGGCAGCAGUGGGGAAUAUUGGACAAUGGGGGAAACCCUUAUCCAGCGACGCCGCGUGAGGGAAGAAGGUUUUCGGAUUGUAAACCUCUGUCAGUGGGGACGAUAAUGACGGUACCCACGGAGGAAGCCACGGCUAACUACGUGCCAGCAGCCGCGGUAAUACGUAGGGGGCGAGCGUUAUCCGGAUUUACUGGGUGUAAAGGGAGCGUAGACGGUUCUGCAAGUCUGAAGUGAAAGCCCGUGGCUUAACCGCGGAACGGCUUUGGAAACUGUGGAACUGGAGUGCUGGAGAGGCAAGCGGAAUUCCUAGUGUAGCGGUGAAAUGCGUAGAUAUUAGGAGGAACACCAGUGGCGAAGGCGGCUUGCUGGACAGUAACUGACGUUGAGGCUCGAAAGCGUGGGGAGCAAACAGGAUUAGAUACCCGAGUAAU
rnacentral:rRNA from 1 species